GUAUUUUCCCUUGGCAUUGCAUUUAAUCUGGCAUAGCAUCCCAUGAAAUGCAGUCUUGAGUUAUUGACAUUCCUUGAGAAGGUUCUCUACUUACAACUUGAUGUGCACAAGUGAAGAGGCCCUUUUUACCUCUUGUUGGAAGUUAGAGCCUACCCUUGUGAUGUUCUCUGAUACCGGUGGUAUUGUAGAUGAUUGACCCAUGGAUAGUGUCAGGAUAGGUAUAUCUACGAUAGUGGGAAUAUGGGUAAGUGUUUGGUUAAAAAUGUGUUUAAAAAACGUGUGUAACGCCUUCAUUUUAGGUAGUCCGUACGUUCUACUGU
rnacentral:misc_RNA from 1 species